rnacentral:tRNA from 1 species
GUCCCAGUAGCUCAGUUGGAUAGAGCAACGGCCUUCUAAGCCGUAGGUCGCAGGUUCGAAUCCUGCCUGGGACACCA